AGUAGGUGAUGUAUGUUAAUUGCAAGAUCAUCACAGUGACGUCAUACCAACACUUAGCCAGUGAAGCGUUCAUCUUGCUGAGUUCGCUCCUCCCCGUCGAUGAUAUCCAUAUAAGUAUUCCAACACCUCACUUCAAGAACCCCUUCGACAUCAGCAUCCCGCCACACCGUAUUCUCUCACCGCUCAACACCAAUUUGUCAAAACUCUUGAACGCACCCUCUUCUCCCCCCAGAACAUUGGUAAGCUUGAUCGAGAAAGGGCUCUUUUCCCUCUUCUUCCAUUCUCUUUGACACGACUCAUUUUGAUUUGGUGUGAUGGUUUAGCUAAAUAAUAUCGGUGGCUUCUGGUAGCUCUACAGUGGAAUUUCGGCUUGCUAACAUUUUUCUUACUGAAUAGAUACCGAACUGUAUAUAAGCAUUAAGGUAUUAGAAACAAUUUUUCUCGAACUUCCCCCCUUUCUGGUGCGUACAGACAGGGAAAGUCUCUGCGCUGCAUCACGGGUUGGAGAUUCGCAACUUCUGUGCCUGUAAGUUGGUGAAGAAAACACAAUGCUGUCGUAUGGACAGGUUGGAUUUGUUGCAGUGUCUAUGCUGUUUCUACUACAGAUAGUUACUGGUCUCAACAUUCAUAGAUUAACCCAAUCUCAGGAUCCAGUGCAAUCAGCAGCAGAGCAAGAGAUUGCCCACUUACUCCAACGUUAUCCAGAACAACAGGUCCUUGACAGAAAUAAGCGAUUUCCCAAAUUUUUGACGUGUGAAACAGACGACGACUGCGCAAGGUUAGAUCGGCCGGCUUGCUGCGCAAAAUCAGUCAUGGGUCCAUUCUGGGUGUGUAAAGCUUUGGGAGAACUCAACGCUGCUUGUAAUUCCUAUAGUAUGCCCCAUAUGUGGGGCGGACAGAGGAAUGGGCACUUCUGUCCUUGUAAGCAGCAUCUAGCAUGUGUAGGACAUAGACGAGGAGGGUGCGAUCUAAUAAGUGAUAAGUAGCUUGGUGUGUGUCCAUGGAGAUGGUGCACAUGAAAAGAGUCCUUUGUGACACAGAACCUUUGAAAAAAUAAAAAUGUGAAAUAAAAAAAAACAA